rnacentral:ncRNA from 1 species
GCGUUGAAGCGAGAGGUUGCCGUAUUUAUAUGGGUUUUUUCGUGGAGUAUGUCCGAUUUUAAACCGGGCGACAA